rnacentral:rRNA from 1 species
CACGUAGGGGGCAAGCGUUGUCCGGAUUUAUUGGGCGUAAAGAGCUCGUAGGUGGUUCGGUAAGUCGGGUGUUAAACCCCCAGGCUCAACCUGGGGACGCCACUCGAUACUGCUGUGACUAGAGUCCGGUAGGGGAGCGUGGAAUUCCUGGUGUAGCGGUGAAAUGCGCAGAUAUCAGGAGGAACACCAGCGGCGAAGGCGGCGCCCUGGGCCGGUACUGACACUGAGGAGCGAAAGCGUGGGUAGCAAACAGG